GGGCUCCAGUAGUGCAGGAGGGGAUGUACGUGCUCAGGGUUCGGCUGCUUCUGUGUGUGUUUUAAGUGAGUGUGAUCCCACUGCUUGGUCUGUUUGAGUGUAUGGAACAAGUGUGCCAUCCUUUGUGCUGGAGUCGUGUGAAAGGAGUCCUAUGGCUUUGAGAGCUGACUUGAAGCCUGUGGGCAUCACUGAAGAGUAGGGGUAGGGGAUGAGGCAAGGGAAGUUGGGGUAAGGGGAUGAGGCAUAGGAACAGGAACCUCUUUGGCCGAUAUGAAGUGCUGCCAUUCUCUUUUUGGAUUAAGAAUCUCCGUGUGUUUUUUAAUGAAGAACAAACUCACUGUUCAGUUGUGAAUGAAUUCAUUCACGCCUGUUAGUCGGUGUCAUUCUCUCCAUGGAGCUGCAAUUGAAAGGGAUGCUUCUGGUGUGAUGUGCGGCCCCCUCCCGCGUUCUCAGAAGAACCAAGUUGGCAAGGCCUGGCUCCGGGUUGGUGAGCUGUGCCCAAGGUGAGAGAGUUGACUCUUGUGGGCUUUGAGACAUUUCUUCCAGUUGCACGCUGUGUUAUUUCCGUUGUGUUGACCUCUUGAGCUCCAGCCCCAAGUGAGGAUCCGAGCAGUAGCGCAGAAGGGACGGUUUAGACUGGAAGUGCAAUGCAAAGGGCUGGAGCCAGCCGGAGCUGGGAAGUGAUCGUCCCUCUGUACUCAGCACUGGUGCUGGACAUAGCGGGGAACAGGACUGGGGGAUAUGCCAGCAGUGGGUUCCUACCUCAGCAGAAUGGAAGGGCUGUUCUGAUGGGUGUAUUGAACUGGAGUGAAUCUGACGCUGAUGAGAGAGAUGAGGGUGAUAACCAUGGAAGCAUAGAAGUGUUACCCAGACAAAAUGAGCAUUUGUCACCUGGGCUUUCUACAGAUGACAUAGGCAGUGGAAGUCAGCAUCGCAAGCAUCCGUGAGAGCCCUGCAAAAGACUGAAGCAGUGGCUCAGCACCUCCCAAGCAAUGGCCAAUCAGAAGAAGAAAGCAAGAUGAACUCUCAUCGUGUUGCAACCUCUUUCCACUUGAUGUCAUCUGGUAUGCAGUAUCCUUUUGGCCAGUUGAUGUCAGCUGUCCUAAUUCUGUUUCCUCCCAGCUUCUUGUGCCCUUUCGUGAGAACGGCCUUGGUGCUCUCUCUCUACAACACUGCUUAUCAGAAGGAGUAAACAUCAGAGUGUUACCAGCGUGGUUUUCCUUGUCAAAGCCAAUCAUAGCAUCAUAGCAGACCCCCUGAAGAAAAAUGCAUCCCACUAAGACAGCCCCCCAGUGUCCACGCAGCGAGCCACAUCGGGCUCCCGUGGAGCUGCAGAUGGCGCAUUUCCCUGGCAGCAUUGGCCAGGGGUGCUGGGGAGGUUUUGGUGCUCAGCUUGGGCAUGGCGCUGCUUUGCCUGCUUUGUAGGUGUGUGAACAGAAGUGCUUUCCCCCCUUGUGUUCUCCCCACGGCAUUUGCCCCAUGGUUGGUAGAAGAAAGAGCUGGUGGAUUCAGCAGCAGUAGAUUCUGUUGGUUUCUUUGGUUUAUCCCAAGGCUGCUGUGAAGGGGAGCCUGGUUGGCGUAGCAGUGAGCAGCAGCUAACAGGCUGUGCAGAGGAGGGCUUUGCAGAAGGAGCAGGAGUGCCUGUGUCCAUCUGUACCCUUGGAUACGUUCUGGCGGUGAGGCACCAGCUGUGGCCACAGUGACUGAAUGCAGACUUGGCCUGGGGCCGCCACGUGGUGCUUCCUAGCCCUACCCUCCUGUAUAUGCCUGGCAAAGCACAGCCACCCU